GCCCGGCUAGCUCAGUCGGUAGAGCAUGAGACUCUUAAUGUCAGGGUCGUGGGUUCCAGCCCCACGUUGGGCA
rnacentral:tRNA from 2 species